rnacentral:rRNA from 1 species
UGUAUAAUGGGUCAGCGACUUAUAUUCUGUAGCAAGGUUAACCGAAUAGGGGAGCCGAAGGGAAACCGAGUCUUAACUGGGCGUUAAGUUGCAGGGUAUAGACCCGAAACCCGGUGAUCUAGCCAUGGGCAGGUUGAAGGUUGGGUAACACUAACUGGAGGACCGAACCGACUAAUGUUGAAAAAUUAGCGGAUGACUUGUGGCUGGGGGUGAAAGGCCAAUCAAACCGGGAGAUAGCUGGUUCUCCCCGAAAGCUAUUUAGGUAGCGCCUCGUGAAUUCAUCUCCGGGGGUAGAGCACUGUUUCGGCAAGGGGGUCAUCCCGACUUACCAACCCGAUGCAAACUGCGAAUACCGGAGAAUGUUAUCACGGGAGACACACGGCGGGUGCUAACGUCCGUCGUGAAGAGGGAAACAACCCAGACCGCCAGCUAAGGUCCCAAAGUCAUGGUUAAGUGGGAAACGAUGUGGGAAGGCCCAGACAGCCAGGAUGUUGGCUUAGAAGCAGCCAUCAUUUAAAGAAAGCGUAAUAGCUCACUGGUCGAGUCGGCCUGCGCGGAAGAUGUAACGGGGCUAAACCAUGCACCGAAGCUGCGGCAGCGACACUGUG